UCCAUCCAACUGGGAAAGAGACAUGAGGGUCCAGCCUUGAUACACUAUGUCCAUACAUGUGUGCUCUUCAGGCAAGCCUACUGGGCAUUCACAGCAGCAAAACCAGCAAUCUCUCCACUCCCAGGCCCAGGGCACCGACUCUGAAUUGAACAAAACAAGGUUUACGGCAAGAUGAGAUGCAUUACGCACCAUUGGAGGAAACUGGAGCACCUCGAUGAAACCCACGUAGACACGGGAAGAACAUACAAGCUCCUUGUAGACAGCGGCUGGAAUUGAACCGGAGUCGCUGGUGCUGUAAUAGCGUUACACUAACCACUAUACUACCGUGCAGGCCACACCAAGUAAAGAUUGCAGAUUUCUUUCCCUUAAGAGCGUUAGUAAACCAGCCAUAAGGUCAGCUGACUCCUUGCAACACAGAACGACCUGACCCAUUCCACGCUGGACUCACUGCUGGGUGAGGGUGCUGAACUACAUUAGAAUGUUGAUUGGAGG